GGAACACUUUUGGGACAACAUGAUUCGCUUCUCAAGGGAGUGACUGGAACUUUGGAGGAGAUGACUCGCCAAAUGCAACAGAUUAGCGCUCAGCUGAUUGAGGCCAGAGGCCCCCCUGCUACUGCGGUGAGUGCCGCGCCGGCUUCUCCCCCUGCCGCUCUCUCUCCAGACUCGGUUCAUUUUAAAGAACCGUUUGUUUCACACCCUGAGCCAUUUUCGGGUGAUUUUGGGUCCUGUAGCCGUUUUUUGUUUAAUUGUAGCCUUGUGUUUAAGCUCCAGCCCGGCAGUUAUGCCUCCGAUGAGGCCAAAAUUGCUUAUACCAUUAAUCUCCUUAGGGGUAGAGCCGCAAAGUGGGCCACAGCCUUAUGGGAGGGGGGAUCCAGUGUUCUUAAUUCAUUUGAGACAUUUUCUGCCCAACUACGUAGGGUUUUUGAUCACCCGGUUCUGGGCCAAGAUGCUGCUAAACAGCUCCUGGCAUUAUCUCAGGGGGGUCAAUCGGUGGCUAGCUUUGCGGUCGAUUUCCAAAUUUUGGCUGGGAGGUGUGGUUGGGACGAGGCUGCAUUAAAGGCGUUAUUUGUCAAGGGGCUUUCGGAGGAAUUGAAGGAUGAAUUGGCAACUAGGGAUGAGCCAGACUCACUACAGGAACUGUUUGAUCUAGCAAUUAAAAUAGACGGUAGAUUGAGAGAGAGAGACAGGGAGAGGGCUGCUAGUGCUCCCCGUCAGACUCCCCCUUCUGGUCAUGUGGUUUCCACUGCUCGCCCUACUCUAGGCCAACUUACUCCACCUGCACCUACGCCACCUGCUACUGCUCCCCCUGCUGACUCGGAGGAGCCCAUGCAGCUGGGCAAGACUCGGCUGAGUCUAAGGGAGAGAAGAAGACGGAGAGUGGAGAAUCUCUGCCUUUACUGUGGAGGAGCGGAGCAUUCCCUUCAGUCCUGCCCCCUUCUGUUAAAAGACAGGACUCAUCAUUAAGCAAGGGCGUAAUGGUGAGUUGGCUAUCAACCCCCAGAAGCCCUUCUUCCAGGUCCACGUUUCCUGCCUCUCUUAGUUUUCCCUCCUCCGUUAUUAAGACUUCAGUUUUUCUUGACUCUGGCGCGGAUGAUAAUUUUAUUGAUGAGGCCUUUGUUAAAGCUCACAAUAUUCCCACCAACUCGCUUUCUCAGGCUAAACAGGUUCUGGCAUUGGACGGUCGAGUCAUUUCGGAGGUUAAAUUUGAGACAGUUCACCUCACCUUACUACUUUCCGGUAAUCAUUCCGAGAAAAUUAAGUUUUUUGUCAUUUCGUCUCCCUGUUCCCCAGUUAUUCUCGGGCUGCCUUGGUUUAAACUGCAUAGUCCUCACAUUAACUGGGUCACGUCCUCUAUUGUCAGUUGGAGCACUCAUUGUCACUCUUUUUGUUUGCAGUCGGCAGUCGUUAACCCUCCUUCGGUUACACCGGCACCUCCUGAUCUUUCUUCGGUACCCUCUUGCUAUCAUGACUUAGCACAGGUAUUUAGUAAAGAUCUGGCUAAGACACUGCCUCCGCACCGUCCUUACGACUGCGCGAUUAACCUGCUCCCUGGCGCCCCCUUACCUUCUGGCCGACUUUACAACCUGUCUCGUUCAGAGAAGGAUUCCAUGCAGACUUACAUUUCCGAGUCGUUGGCUUCCGGGUUAAUUCGGCCUUCUUCGUCUCCCGUAGGGGCGGGUUUUUUCUUCGUGGGUAAGAGGGAUUCUUCACUUCGGCCGUGCAUCGAUUUCCGUGGUCUUAACGACAUAACCAUUAAAGAUAAGUCUCCCAUUCCUCUUAUCGAUCCCUCAUUUGAGCCCCUGUGUCAUGCUAAGAUCUUCUCCAAAACUUGAUCUUAGAAACGCGUAUCAUCUCAUCCGGAUCAGAGAGGGAGAUGAAUGGAAAACUGCCUUUAACACACCCAUGGGACAUUUUGAGUAUUUGGUGAUGCCUUUUGGUCUCACCAAUGCUCCGGCAGUUUUUCAGUCAUUUAUGAAUGACAUUUUCCGGGACGUGCUGAAUAAGUUUGUUUUCAUUUACCUCGAUGACAUCUUGAUAUUCUCCAAGAAUCAAGAUGAGCAUCGUCAGCACCUCCGUCUCAUUCUCCAGCGUCUCUUAGAAAACCGUCUCUAUGUAAAGCCUGAGUAAUGCGAGUUUCAUGCGUCCAGAGUCAGUUUUUUAGGUUAUAUCAUAGAGGCUGGUCAGUUACGCCCCGACCCUUGCAAGAUCCAAGCUGUGAUCAGUUGGCCCACCCCUACCACCCGUAAGGAGUUACAGCGGUUUUUAGGUUUUGCUAACUUCUACCGUAGAUUUAUUCGUAACUACAGUAGCGUAGCUAAACCUCUCACUCAGCUCACCUCUGUCAAGGUCCCCUUCUGUUGGUCAGACGAGGCUGACAGCGCCUUCCAGGACCUCAAGACAUUGUUCACCUCUGCCCCUGUACUCCUGCACCCUGACCCCUCUCUACAGUUCGUGGUGGAGGUGGACGCCUCUGACUCCGGCAUCGGUGCUAUCCUCUCCCAGCGAGACCCAACUACCAACAAGCUGCACCCUUGUGCUUUUUUUUCUCGUCGCCUUUCUCCCCCAGAGCGAAAUUACGACGUGGGAAACAGAGAACUCUUAGCGGUGGUGGGAGCUCUACAACAGUGGAGACACUGGCUGGAGGGCGUGGAGAAGCCUUUUUUGAUCUGGACGGACCAUAAGAACCUGGCGUAUCUCCGGACAGCAAAACGGCUCAACCCGAGGCAGGCCAGGUGGUCUCUUUUCCUGAGUCGUUUUAACUUCUCCAUUUCAUAUUGCCCCGGAUCCAAGAACACCAAGCCUGAUGCUCUCUCCCGGGUCUUCUCCUCUCCAUCGGAGCCUGAGGGUCCUUCUUCCAUCCUUCCUCCCUCCUGCAUCCUGGGUGCCGCUCAUUGGGACGUGGAGCGUGUUGUUAGGGAGGCCCAGACACGUCAUCCGGAUCCCGGAACUGGUCCCCCCAAUCUCCUGUUUGUUCCUGACUCCGUUCGGUCGGAGGUUCUCCAAUGGGGACACUCCUCCAAACUAAGCUGUCACCCCGGUAUUAAUCGCACCCUGUCUUUCCUCCGGCAGAGGUUUUGGUGGCCCUCAAUGGCUCGAGACACUCGGGAGUUCGUGGCUGCCUGCUCAGUCUGUGCCCGGGGAAAGGCCUCCCACAAGCCACCAGCUGGUCUGCUGCGCCCCCUGCCGGUGCCCAGUCGCCCUUGGUCUCACAUUGCUGUGGACUUUGUCACCGGGUUGCCCCCCUCACAAGGUAACACUGUCAUCCUCACCAUAGUGGAUCGCUUCUCCAAAAUGGUCCAUUAUGUACCACUCCCUAAAUUGCCUACCGCACUGGAGACAGCUAACCUUUUAAUCACUCACGUGUUCAAACUGCAUGGAAUCCCUCUGGAUAUUGUUUCAGACCGUGGGCCCCAGUUCGCCUCUCGUGUUUGGAGGGAUUUCUGCCAGGCAUUGGGCGCAGCAGUCAGCCUCUCCUCGGGUUUCCACCCGCAGACCAACGGCCAGACUGAGCGGGCCAAUCAGGACCUCGAGAGUGCUUUACGCUGCGUCGCAGCCCAUCACCCAGUUACCUGGAGCGACCAUCUUCCUUGGGUGGAGUACGCCCACAACGCCCUCUCCUGUUCGUCUACGGGUAUGUCUCCGUUCCAAGUUUGUUUUGGUUACCAACCCCCGUUGUUUCCAGAACAGGAGAGAGAGGUCGCUGUUCCUUCUGUGGGGGCUCACAUUAAGCGUCUGAAGGAGGUAUGGAGGAGGGCUCGAGAGGCUCUGUCCGCUACCACUGAGAGAACCAAACGCAGUGCUGAUCUCCAUCGUCAACCGGCUCCUUCGUAUCAUCCUGGCCAGAUGGUGUGGUUAUCUUCUCGGGACCUGCCCCUCCAGGUGGAGGCUAGUAAGUUGGCCCCUCGUUUUAUUGGUCCUUUUCCGGUGGAGAAGAUUAUUAACCCCUCUGCCGUGAGACUCAGGUUGCCAGCUUCCCUGAGGGUCCAUCCCACAUUCCACGUCUCUCUUCUCAAGCCAGUGGAGACCAGCGAGCUCUGCCCUCCGGCCGAGCCCCCUCCACCCCCCCGACUCAUUGAUGACCAUCCGGCGUUUACAGUAUCCCGGAUUUUGGACGUCAGGCCGCGGGGGCGAGGAUUCCAGUACCUGGUCGACUGGGAGGGAUAUGGACCUGAGGAGAGGUCAUGGAUCCCCCGCGGUCUCAUCCUUGAUGGCAACCUCCUCCGGGACUUCUACCAUGACCACCCCGACAAGCCGGGUAGGACGUCGGGAGACGUCCGUUGAGGGGGGGGUACUGUGAGGACUGGUCCCCAGUCCUCCAGUUUUGCUCCUCUUUGCCCUCCCCUCUCGGGCUGUCUUCCCCCCUUUAUCCACUUCGCCUGAACGGCGCUGUAGGCUGCUCAGGAUCCCUCUCUUCACUUCCUGCAUGGGUGGCACCGCGGGAGCUGAUCACCUGCUGGAGACCUCACCUGCUGCUAAUUCCGGUCUGAUUACCUGCCUACAAGAGCCCAGGGAGGAAUCUUCUCGGUGCCGGCUGAUUGCCUGAUUAAGUGGUUCGUUCACUACGUUUGUGCUGGCCUUAAGCCUCUUCUCCCCUCACGGAGAUUAUCUUGUGCUUCAUUUUUGGAUGACUGUUGUGGAUUCAUGCUCGUUUUACCCCUGGACUAACUCCUUCUCUCUUUCUCGUUUUUUCCAGGUCUCCACGAGCUCCUGCCACCACCACCAUCAUUGCUUUGUUCACUUUUUACUCACAUGUAAAUAAAAAUCACUGUUUGUUGAAAUCCUGAUCUGAUUCAGCCUCUGCUCUGGGUCCACCUAUGCACAACACCUAACAGCAAUCCCAAAAAUAUGGUAGUGGUUUUCAUUUUGAUUUCCUCAGUUCCUCCAGCAAACAGGGUUAUUGUCAUAGUGAGACUUUUGGGAGGGUGUCAUAAAGUAGCUAACUUCACAGUCUUGAUUAAUGGACAACUUCAGCUGAUCUACACUCCACUGGGGUAUUUUGGGCUUUAUAGUGCUCCACAUAUUUUGGGAAAUUUUUCACAAUGGGAGACAGGUCUGGACUGUGGGCAGGUCAUUCUUGUGCCUGGACUCUUCGACUCAGAAGCCCUGCUGUAACAACAUGCUGAAUGUUUUUUUGCAUUGUCUUUCUGAAAUCAGCAGGGACGUCCCUGAAAAAGACGGAUCUCUGAUGGCAGCAGAUGUUGGUCCUAAAACUGUUUGUCAUAUCUGUGACGGCUCCAUCAAUGCUGAAAGGUACAGUUAACCUUGGACACUAACACACCCCUGGACCAUUACAGAUGCUGGCU